AAACGAUUUGUCGAUCUCGAGAACUAAAACUCACUUUUGUUGUCAAUUUUAGAUUUCCACAACGUUUUUAACACUUUUAUAAUAAACAAUUCGCGCUCAAAACCUUUACACAAAAACGUUGUAAAUAAGCGCAAAAUUGUGGUUUACCUCCAAUCGGCUUUGCAAGAAACAUAACUCUAUCAAUUUCCAACAGUGUGGCUGUAUUCUACUGUGGAAAAUGGCGCAAGUAAAGUUGUCAAUGCUGGAGGUGUUCGGAAAGUUAUUAGGCAAAAACAUUUAUCAUUUCUUUUAUAUUAAGUAUUUGUCGUUAUAAAUAGCGCAAUAAACUUAAUAAUUACAUUAAA